AUGGUGUAGCGGUUAGCACUCAGGACUUUGAAUCCUGCGACCCGAGUUCAAAUCUCGGU
rnacentral:tRNA from 1 species